ACUCACAGCGGGUAAGAUAUAUCCGAUAUUCGUAUCGACUACGAUUUUUUUGAGCUAGUUUCACAAUACUAAUGUGUGCAUUUAUGGCAUUCCUGAUAAUUUCAUCAUCAAUCUUCUCAAACAGCUCCUUCCGUAUUGGGCUCUGAACAAAUGUCUCAAAGAUGCGGUCUGGAUCACUAUCAGUCUUUAUGUACCCCUCUCGUUUUAGAUAUUUCUUGAAAUCAAUAUAUUGGUCUGCUUUUUCUAUUGCUUCAACAAAGGCAAUAACAAGCUUUUCUGACGUCCACUUAGUAGCCGUA
rnacentral:misc_RNA from 1 species